GCUACCAUGCAGUCGAGCGGUAACAGGAAGAAGCUUGCUUCUUUGCUGACGAGCGGCGGACGGGUGAGUAAUGCUUGGGAACUUGCCUUUGGGUGGGGGAUAACCAUGGGAAACUGUGGCUAAUACCGCAUGAUGUUUUCGAACCAAAGUGGGGGAUCUUCGGACCUCACGCCCAGAGAUAGGCCCAAGUGAGAUUAGCUAGUUGGUGGGGUAAAGGCUCACCAAGGCGACGAUCUCUAGCUGUUCUGAGAGGAUGAUCAGCCACACUGGGACUGAGACACGGCCCAGACUCCUACGGGAGGCAGCAGUGGGGAAUAUUGCACAAUGGGGGAAACCCUGAUGCAGCCAUGCCGCGUGUGUGAAGAAGGCCUUCGGGUUGUAAAGCACUUUCAGUGGUGAGGAAGGUUGGUAGUUUAAUACGCUACCAAAUUGACGUUAGCCACAGAAGAAGCACCGGCUAGCUCCGUGCCAGCAGCCGCGGUAAUACGGAGGGUGCGAGCGUUAAUCGGAAUUACUGGGCGUAAAGCGUACGUAGGCGGCUUAUUAAGCAAGAUGUGAAAGCCCCGGGCUCAACCUGGGAAUUGCAUUUUGAACUGGUAGGCUCGAGUUUUGAAGAGGGUGGUAGAAUUUCCAGUGUAGCGGUGAAAUGCGUAGAUAUUGGAAAGGAAUACCAGUGGCGAAAGGCGGCCACCUGGUCAAAAACUGACGCUGAGGUACGAAAGCGUGGGGAGCAAACAGGAUUAGAUACCCUGGUAGUCCACGCCGUAAACGAUGUCAACUAGUUGUUCGUUUCAUAAACGAAGUGAGUAA
rnacentral:rRNA from 1 species